CUGGUAUUGAUUGGUGCUUGCAUCAUGAUUUACAUUUGAGUGAGUGGCGAACUGGUGAGUAACACGUGGGAAACCUGCCCAGAAGCGGGGGAUAACACCUGGAAACAGAUGCUAAUACCGCAUAACAACUUGGACCGCAUGGUCCGAGUUUGAAAGAUGGCUUCGGCUAUCACUUUUGGAUGGUCCCGCGGCGUAUUAGCUAGAUGGUGGGGUAACGGCUCACCAUGGCAAUGAUACGUAGCCGACCUGAGAGGGUAAUCGGCCACAUUGGGACUGAGACACGGCCCAAACUCCUACGGGAGGCAGCAGUAGGGAAUCUUCCACAAUGGACGAAAGUCUGAUGGAGCAACGCCGCGUGAGUGAAGAAGGGUUUCGGCUCGUAAAACUCUGUUGUUAAAGAAGAACAUAUCUGAGAGUAACUGUUCAGGUAUUGACGGUAUUUAACCAGAAAGCCACGGCUAACUACGUGCCAGCAGCCGCGGUAAUACGUAGGUGGCAAGCGUUGUCCGGAUUUAUUGGGCGUAAAGCGAGCGCAGGCGGUUUUUUAAGUCUGAUGUGAAAGCCUUCGGCUCAACCGAAGAAGUGCAUCGGAAACUGGGAAACUUGAGUGCAGAAGAGGACAGUGGAACUCCAUGUGUAGCGGUGAAAUGCGUAGAUAUAUGGAAGAACACCAGUGGCGAAGGCGGCUGUCUGGUCUGUAACUGACGCUGAGGCUCGAAAGUAUGGGUAGCAAACAGGAUUAGAUACCCUGGUAGUCCAUACCGUAAACGAUGAAUGCUAAGUGUUGGAGGGUUUCCGCCCUUCAGUGCUGCAGCUAACGCAUUAAGCAUUCCGCCUGGGGAGUACGGCCGCAAGGCUGAAACUCAAAGGAAUUGACGGGGGCCCGCACAAGCGGUGGAGCAUGUGGUUUAAUUCGAAGCUACGCGAAGAACCUUACCAGGUCUUGACAUACUAUGCAAAUCUAAGAGAUUAGACGUUCCCUUCGGGGACAUGGAUACAGGUGGUGCAUGGUUGUCGUCAGCUCGUGUCGUGAGAUGUUGGGUUAAGUCCCGCAACGAGCGCAACCCUUAUUAUCAGUUGCCAGCAUUAAGUUGGGCACUCUGGUGAGACUGCCGGUGACAAACCGGAGGAAGGUGGGGAUGACGUCAAAUCAUCAUGCCCCUUAUGACCUGGGCUACACACGUGCUACAAUGGAUGGUACAACGAGUUGCGAACUCGCGAGAGUAAGCUAAUCUCUUAAAGCCAUUCUCAGUUCGGAUUGUAGGCUGCAACUCGCCUACAUGAAGUCGGAAUCGCUAGUAAUCGCGGAUCAGCAUGCCGCGGUGAAUACGUUCCCGGGCCUUGUACACACCGCCCGUACACACCAUGAGAGUUUGUAACACCCAAAGUCGGUGGUGAGUAAC
rnacentral:rRNA from 1 species